rnacentral:rRNA from 1 species
UACGUAGGGCGCAAGCGUUAUCCGGAAUUAUUGGGCGUAAAGAGCUCGUAGGCGGUUUGUUAAGUCGGAUGUGAAAUCCCUCGGCUCAACUGAGGAAGUGCAUCCGAAACUGGCAGGCUUGAGUACUAAAGAGGGUCGCGGAAUUCCCGGUGUAGAGGUGAAAUUCGUAGAUAUCGGGAGGAACACCGGUGGCGAAGGCGGCGACCUGGGUAGAUACUGACGCUGAGGUGCGAAAGCGUGGGGAGCAAACAGG